CGGUGAAUAGCGCAGCUUGGUAGCGCAUCUGGUUUGGGACCAGAGGGUCGGG
rnacentral:tRNA from 1 species